AUUGAACGCUGGCGGCAGGCCUAACGCAUGCAAGUCGAGCGGAUGAAGGGAGCUUGCUCCUGGAUUCGGCGGCGGACGGGUGAGUAAUGCCUAGGAAUCUGCCUGGUAGUGGGGGAUAACGUCCGGAAACGGGCGCUAAUACCGCAUACGUCCUGAGGGAGAAAGUGGGGGAUCUUCGGACCUCACGCUAUCAGAUGAGCCUAGGUCGGAUUAGCUAGUUGGUGGGGUAAAGGCCUACCAAGGCGACGAUCCGUAACUGGUCUGAGAGGAUGAUCAGUCACACUGGAACUGAGACACGGUCCAGACUCCUACGGGAGGCAGCAGUGGGGAAUAUUGGACAAUGGGCGAAAGCCUGAUCCAGCCAUGCCGCGUGUGUGAAGAAGGUCUUCGGAUUGUAAAGCACUUUAAGUUGGGAGGAAGGGCAGUAAGUUAAUACCUUGCUGUUUUGACGUUACCAACAGAAUAAGCACCGGCUAACUUCGUG
rnacentral:rRNA from 1 species